rnacentral:hammerhead_ribozyme from 20 species
GGACGGUCGGGGUAGCGGUUAAGCCCCCUGACGAGGACUUUCGCAGGUCCGAAACCGCUG